rnacentral:tRNA from 1 species
GGCUUGUUGCUGUAGGGGUAUGAUUCUCGCUUUGGGUGCGAGAGGUCCCGGGUUCUAUUCCCGGAUGAGCGC